rnacentral:rRNA from 1 species
GGUUAGUAGGUUGGUCAUGCCUCUGGUAUGUACUGGUCUCACUGAUUCCUCCUUCCUGAUGAACCGUAAUGCCAUUAAUUUGGUGUUGCGGGGAAUUUGGACUGUUACUUUGAAAAUUAAGAGUGUUUAAAGCAAGCUAACGCUUGAAUACAUUAGCAUGGAAUAAUGAAAUAGGACGUUUGAUUCUAUUUUGUUGGUUUCUAGGAUCGACGUAAUGAUUAAUAGGGAUAGUUGGG